UGCUUUCAGUGACACUGUUUGAUUUUUUUUUUUUUUAAUCCACAAUCAGAAACCCACAAUCCUAAAGCUCAUAACAGCAUGUUGAUCUGCCAAAAGUGUCAUUAUAGAUGUCUUUACAAACACACUGAUCUCACAGAAGCAGACAGAAAUAUCAAUACAUUACGUAAAUACAAAUAUUCAGCAAACAGAGAAAGCACAGAUUAUUUGAAGUGUUUUUGGGGCAGACUGAAAAUACUUUAGACGGUUGUAUUUGGGACAGGAAAUAAACUUGUACUUUUUCAUCAUUCUUUCCUUAUUUUGACGGCACUUUUUUCUGAAGUCUUAGACCUUCAAAAUCUGCACCAACUGAAGGUGAUUUGAACAAGCGAUCAUCUUGAUGUUGUUACCAUCAAACCUUUGUGAAGAUUUUUCAAAAUGAGAAAUACAAACAAUGAAAGUUAUCCACACUCACUGUCCUUAAAGCUGCGACCAAAUCAGCCUCUUUAGAAAAGAAUAAAAAAGCUUAAAUGAAGAACUAAACCCAGAGUUUUUGGUGAGACUGAUCCACAAACAUUUACAAACCAGAACAUUUCAAGAGUCAGUGAUCUCAUGACAUGUUUUUGGUCUGAUGCACUCAAUUAUCUGUUUAUUUCAGUUCAAUAAACUCAGCAGAGACUCCAAUAGACAGGGGUAACCACAGUCCAGCAUGUAGUGGCUGAGUGAAUGUGGUCUGGACUCUGUGGAGGAGAGUCAUGGUUUCAGAGACGCUGUAGAAGGACAGAAUACCUGCUCUGUGAUCCAGGUACACUCCCACUCUGGAGGACGGAGGACCUGAGACAUCAGUGAUGACUUUGUUGUGCCUAAAGUCAUACCUGUCUGUAUAACAGUCUAAAGUCCAAGAUUUGUCAUUGAAUCCAAAUGAACAAUCCAAUGAGGUUCCUGCUCUCCUGACAGUCUUGUAUGUGACUGCUACAUAAACCCCAUCCCCUCUCCAGUCCACCUCCCAGUAACAACGUCCAGUCAGACUCUCUCUACUCAGGACCUGAGAACAACCAGUGAAUCUGUCUGGAUGAUCAGGAUAAGACUGUCGUUCUUCUGUCAAUGUUGCUCUUCUGUUUCCAUCAGAUAAUAACAGUCGUCUGUUUGCUGUGUUUGGAUCCAGUGUGAUUCUUUGUGAAUAUAUUAAGAAACCAGCUCUGGUCUUGGGUUCUGGUUCUGACAGUAAAACAUCCACAUCAGUCACUGCCUGUGAGACGUUUGUCCACGUCUCUCUCAGAAGAUCCUGGAGUUUCUCUCUGACCUCUGACACAGCUGCUGUCACCUCCUCAAAGUAUCUCAGAGGACGGAUGUUGAUUCUGGAUGAGUCUGCAGGUUGACCCGGUUCUGACAGUGAGGGGUAGCUGUGCAGAAACUGGUUGUGGUCCUCUGUGAGUGAGAGCUUCUGCAGAUCAGCGUCUUUCCUCUUCAGCUCAGUGAUCUCCUGCUCCAGUUUCUCCUGAAGCUCUUUGACUCGACUCACUUCACGUUCCUGCUGGGAUCUGACCUGCUGCUCCACCUCAGAGCGGCGUUUCUCCAUCAGACGGAUCAGCUGGCUGAAGAUCUCCUGGCUGUGCUUCACUGCUUUAUCAGCAGAGCCGUUGAUAGCCUCCACCUCCUGUUGGAGCAGCUUCACAUCUUCUUCUCUGUCCUGGAUUCUCUGCUGGAUGUUUUCUCGACUCUCCUCCAGAUCUUUCUGCCUCUCAGUCCUUUCUGCUGCAGCUGAGACUGUGUCGUGACCUUUGUGUUGGUCCACAGAGCAGAGAUAACAGAUAGACUGUUGAUCAGUGCGGCAGAACAUCUUCAUCACCUCAUCAUGACGAGAGCAGAUGUUCUCCUGGAGCUUCUUGGAGGGCUCCACCAGCUUGUGUUUCUUAAAUGAAGGUGAUUCAAAAUGAGGCUGGAGGUGAAUCUGGCAGUAAGAAACCAGACACUGCAGACAGGACUUGACAGCUUUCAGUUUUCUCCCACUGCAGAAAUCACAGGCCACAUCUUCAGGUCCAGCCUCAGAGGGUUGAUCGGGAGCAGCUUGAAGUCUGAUCUUCUUCAGUUCCUCCACUAAAGCUGCUAAUAUGGUGUUUUUCUGCAGGACAGGCCUCGGUAUGAAGGUCUGUCUGCACUGAGGACAGCUGUAGAUCUUCUUCUCAUCCUCAGUAUUCCAGUGGGAUUGAAUACAGCUCAUGCAAAAGCUGUGUCCACAGGUGAGAGUCACCGGAUCCUUCAGUGGAUCCAAACAGAUGGAACAAGAGAAAGACUCACGGUCCAGCUGAACUCCUUUCUGCGCCAUUUCAACAUUCGCUGUCGACGACGACUGACUGAGUUUCGUUUCUUCAGAAGUGAAACUAGUCUGAGCUCUGAUCUUAACAACAUGAGUGUGUCAGCAGGAUCAGCUCAGCACACACUGGUGACACCCAUCCUUUAGACUGUAGAUCUAAAGGGGAAGGAACAAGGAAGUGAGUGUGCAGAGGGGAGUGUGCUGUGAAAGAGGAGGGAGGGGAAAGCCAGCUCUUGUAUAAUCCAGGAAGAGGAGUGGCGAUGUAAACUUUAGACUCUCAAACUCCAACAAGCAGAGGUAAUUAAAGCUGCAGCAGUCCUGAAGAUCAGCUGCAUCAACAUCUCAGUAAAUGCAUCAACAUUUAUUCAUUUCAUAUAAACCUUGUUGACCACAGAAAUACUUCCACUGUUUUAUCCUUAUAUCUACCACACCCAUGUCAAAAUAAAUAAGUUAGCAAAGAUAUUGAUUACUCAAAUUAAUUAAGUUUGGUUUAGUACCAUGCACUGAAAAGAAUUUCUGUGAACUUGCAGAGGUUAAGUUUAUUUACUUGAUUUUUUUUUAAGGCAAUGAGUUUCCAUAUUUUUCUAAGUGAACUGAACUUGUUUUGUUGUAUAGUGUAGAUGAAGCAACAGCACACAUAAAAAUAUCAACUAACAUAGUGCGUUCUUUACUGUAUUAAGUUUUUUUUCAAUGCAUUACCAUCCAGUUAUGUUUCAUGAGACGGCUGCAGAGGCUUUUACUCUGCUACAUAAGAAAAUGAGGCACUUCCAAUGAACAGUGAGUACAUGACAUGACAGAAUUAUAGUUCUCACAUUACAAUGAUGGAAGUCGUCAGAGGGUAGUUUUAAACUGGAAUAAGAAAUUCCUCUGUUCUGACAAACUGUCUAAGAGAUUUGAACAAAAUUUUCCAGACUUUUACCGAGUCAUUUAACCCAGAACAGCCUGAGUGGGUUUACUAAUCAUGGAUUUAAUGAGAUGAAAAUAGAGUUACUUUUACAUCACUGAGUACCAAAGAAUCUGUUAAGCAGACCAAAGUCUCCCUGUCGCAAAGACAAACCCUGCUGUUUAUUUAUUCAUGUCCGUAUUAGCAGCUAAUGUGAAAUAUCUUCUGACCCUCAGAUUUAUAAGGUAUAAGUUGUUAAAAGUUGGAGCUGAACCUCAAUAAAUGUGAACAAAAUAAUUUUGCCAAUUGCAUUUGAUAAAAAAUUAGAAAUAAAAAAGGACUGGUUUACAAGAAAAUGAAAAUAAACAUUCUCACAGUGAUUACUCUAAUCAUUCAGGUAAAAUUUUACAAACCCCAGGAAAUGACAGACAAAAUGAAAGCAUGACAUCAAGUGUAUAAAGAACUGUAAUCUGCUCCAUCUAUAGCCUGAUAUCGUGAAGGAGUCCCAUAAGGUGAAAGUUAGAAUCUCACUUUGCUGCUUCUUCUACUUUCCAACUCAAAAUAGCUCCAAAUAGUUUCCCUCGCAGCGUGUCUGAGGCUCACCCUCAGGGGGGGAGCUCCUAAUUGAAUCCCGGCUUGAAAUGAGGUAGUUCAAAAGUCUUCCUGGAGGUCUCCCUGUAGGGUUAUUUCAGGCAUACCCUACAGCAAAAAACCCAGGUCAGACUCAAAGUGAGCUGAGUGGAUAUUAUAUCCAGUCUGGGAAUGCUGGAGCCAUAGAGGAGGAGACCCAGGAAGUGGAUGUACGUUAUUUCAUGCUCAGAUGUUUAUAGUUUGAACCGUGUCAGAAAUUAUCAUCAUUCAACAAGUAAAAUAAACUUAUCUUUAUUCAGAGUAAUUUGUGAGGAGAAAUGAAAGUUGAACAUGAUGUUUCUGGAGCUGUGAGGGUGAAGUUGUGAGGGCGUCGCUGUCACAGUGGAUUUAAGGAGAUGUCAGCUCCAGCUGCUGUCAGCUAGAUACGACUCUCUUGAUUUGAGACUUAAUUGUAAAUGUCAGGUUCAUGAUGUUAAAAUCGUGUGACGAAGCACCUCAGGGAGAGACUUGGCUUAUUUUAUACCCAUGAGACUUCUGUUACUCCACUAUGAAGUAGUUGUGUGGAAGUAUGUCUGUAGCCCAGCAUAGAGUUAACCUGUGCAAAGAAUACUUUAAAUUUAAUCUACUAUUGAUUAUUCCUCCUGUCCGAUCCUCCUCAUGAUUACCUAUUUGAGCAGGAGAAGUCAUUUACUUCAAGUGUUUAUCAUCUGUUUACCCAGAUAAGUUUGGACUGAGGAGAUACCUUAUCACACGUUUUUGAUCAAACGACUCCGUCUAUCUCCCCACUAAAGCAUAUCCAAGUGCUACAUGCUUUAUUGAUGCCAAUAACCUUUUCUCUCUGAAUGACCAGCCAUACCUGACCCAUACAGUGAUUAAAAUAGAUCUUUGAUUGUUGUCACUCUCAGCUAGUUGGAACAUGAAUUAAGUGAUCUGAACUUACUGGGCGAGAAAAACAGGGGGAUUAAUCUUCCUGCUGUCACUCUUAAUUCCAAGAUGAGUUACAUAACAAAGGAUCAAGUGUGGGAGGGGAAAAGUCUUCAAUCAGCACAUAUGCAUGAUUAUUGUGAUUAGGCGUAAACUUUCCUUGCAGCCUUUAAAUUACACGACAUUGUAAUUCGCAGCCCUGAAGCUGUUAACUUUUGUGGUCACAUUAGCUGCAACAUGAAUAAAACAGAAAAUGACUGGGCAUUACAGGAACGGGGUUGAUUGUGCAAUUUCCCCUUCGUCUCUGCAGCUCAAAGGUGCUGCAUCUAUCAUCAAAUUUGAGAGCUGAUUUUUUUCCCCCUUUAUGUUGUUUCUUAAUACAUAAAAGAAUGAAGAGACAGUCUUCUCUCCACACCACUCACCCACAGGUACUUUGUGCCCUGACAGACUCCCACGUCAACAUGAGUGCCGAGUCAUGAGUGACCACUCAGACGCAGUGGGGGGAGCAAUGACAGUGUUCAGAGCACAGGCACAGAUUUACAGGACUGCAGAAUUCAAAGCUGGAGAGGAGAUGAGUAAGAAUCUCAGAGGGAGUAAUAUUUGGAUUCAUUUCAAUAAUUUUAAUGACAUCAAAAUAGAAUACAAAGUUAUAUCAAGAAUGUUCAACAAACAACCUUCACGGACAUGUGGGAGCUGUGCAUCAGAACACCUACUGCCACUGUGGAAUAUUAUUAAUUAUUCUGAGAAUGAUGUGGAAUAUUAUUCAUAUUUGAAGUGAAACACUGGCACAGACUGCAAAAAUAAGUCAUAAAAUCACUAUAAAUCACCCUCUUACAUAUAGGAAUUGAUAAGAGUAAUUUCCUAUUUGUUCUCAUUAAUCCCUAUUUCUAUUCUCCUCCAAACAUUUGUAUUUUUAAGAACAAGUAUAAUACUGUAAUGACCAAAUUUACCCUCCAGGAGAUUAAUAAAGUAUUCUGAUUCAGAUUUAAAUAGCUGAUGUAAUAAUAGCUAAAAUGAUGCUAUGAGGAGGUGUUUGGGCACCAAACAUACUGGCGCUCACUGCUGAGCUGAGCCAAAUGAUCUGGAUCACUAAAGAGAGACGAAAUUCACUAUUGUUAACUGUGGAAAACCCAGGGGAUUUUACAUGACUGGAUGGUAUGAACCCCCUGAGAAUUACCUACUGGUUCCCAGAAGAUCCCCUAUGGAUGUUCACAAAUAAAAAAAAAACAGAAUAAAAAUAUAUAUGUAUAUAUCCAUUGCCUGCCACCAGUACGAAGCUAUAAGUGGAUUGUAAGCGGAUGUGACCUGAAGAGUUUGUGUAAUGAAUGCCCUGUAAACAACACCAGUCUUUUUUUUUUUCAUGUAAGAAAACAAAAACACACACACAAAAAACCCUUCAUUUACUGCAUUCGUCCGACUGAAACUGGACCUCUAAAAAGCAUGAAAAAGUGUUAGUUUAACUGAAAUUGUAUCAAAUCAUAUUUCUAGUAGUCAGAUUUACAUACCCACAUAAAGCAGCUGGGGACUGAUUUUCUCUUGCUUGUAUACACCACAACCGGGCCCAUACUUGGCUAAGCUCUUAAAGCAUGAUCCACAGAUGGGACAUCAUUUCCAGAAAAAGGGAAACAAAACAGACAAAACUAUGGUAUGGUAUUGUACAAAAAGUACAGAUUAUUACUAUUUGGGAUACAACCAGUUAGCCUCUUGUACACCUACUGUGUACAUUGUUUAACGGUUCAACCAGGUGAUGCACACUACUAAUGAGCCAAAAGGGGCACAGCACCCCUAAGCCUCGUGGAAGCAGACAUACUUUUAACAAAAAAACAAGUCUUGCCUAAUAAUUGUAAACUAGGACAAGGACAGCACUGUAAUGACGGUGCCUGGUCAAUUAAUAACCAUCAUUCAGCUUCAAAAUGCAUGUAAGCAAAUGGACUGACAGGGGAGGUCUGUAGACCCAAUUGAGCAGAUGCAUGUCGGCUCUUUGACCACCUUGAAGACUCCAAAAUCAGGCAGCUGGACUGUGUAGAGUUGAGACUCCACAGUCCAGUUGCCAUUCAUAUUAGCUAACCCUCUGCUCACAUCUAAGUCUUUCUAAAAUCUAAACUGACUUUAAACCAAAAUUGAUAUUAAUUUUUCACGGUUAGGAUCACAGAAACCAAAACUUUUCACUGUGGUCUCGGGCAGUCUUUGACUCUGUUAUUAAAGUUGGCAUUUUAAUUAAGGUCCUGACAGGUUUCUCUGCAGAUUUCUGCCCUUUGCAUUGGCCUCAUUAUGUAACCCAGUCCUCAUAGACAGAAAUAUCUUCAUUUUAAAUUUAGCGUCUGCAUAACCACACAGACGAUUCUACAGGUAUGAGUGUGACAGAUGGUGGAGUCUGUAGGGCUUUUGGAGGAUGAAGUAUGGAGAGGCUCACCUGCCCCGCUAUGAUGCAGAACCAGAGAGGUCCAUUCAGAGAGCACAGGCCCAGUCGGGAGCAAUAAAGCUACAUACCAUAUGGUUUAUUAUUUAUUUCCCCUCCAUCUUAUUUCCCUGUCUAUCAGUUUGUUGUGACAGGCUGAUGAUGUUGUACAGGGCAGAGUCCAGACCCACAGGACAGAGCCUGCCUGACAAAGACCAUCUGGCAUCCCAUCAUUAUUCAGAGCAACCCCCCAGACCCUAAGGACAAAGUCUGCCUGUCAUGUCAUGGAGUGAGAUGAAGAAAAAAAAGAUUCGUAUCUAUUUGUAUGUACAGAGUGUAAGGACUAAAAGCCAGGACUACCCUGCUUUCAACCCCCCAAAUCUCCUCCAGAGUGCUACAAACACUUUUCAAAUACACCAGAACGAACAUAUCAUGUUUCAUAAAUAAUAUCUGAAAUACCAGAAGAGCUGGAAGCUGCAGGAUCCCAUGGCCCAGCAUUAUAGAAAUAGCUGGUGCUAAAGAGAGUAAUUAUCCUGCUGUUGGUGGAUUAUGGCCCGCUUUGGCCGAGUAUUCAAACCCUCAAAAUAAGAUCUGUCCCUGAUCAUCUCUGAGGUCAACCAAAUCACUCUAUCACUUUCUCCGUCCAUUUCAUCAUUUUAUUUCCCUAUAUGUAGGUUAGUGAGCUCAAUUUGAUUUUAAUAGAACUUUGCACUUAUCUAUGAAAUCUUCAUGUUGCAUGGCAAGAUGACCGACCUAAUACUAACUCACAUCUUUACAAGUCCUGCCGACUCGCUCAUUCUCACUUCAUGUAAAGUUUGCAGAAGUUUGACACAGGGCAAAAAAAAGCUAAAAUAUUUCAUUUGAUAGCAGAGUGACACAAACACAGUAUCAGGAUUAAAGGAAAGUCUUGCUGUGGUGAUUUGCCCGUCUACAUCUGCUGUUAUUUUGGCUAAAAUUACACGUGUGUAUCUACUCUGUAAUUAUUACACCUGACAGUCAAGCACUUAUUGCCUGACCUCCCUAGCGGCACUGAUACACAUAAUUUGAGGGUGAGUAAUGUGGUCAUAGCUGCAUGUCUCUUAAUAAGUGGGAAAUUAUUUAAACCAAAAGGAGCUUCAAACUCGUCCUGCUGCCAGAAAACAGGUUGAAAAGAGAAAGGACAAUCAGAGGUCUGCUUCCAGGGUCCUCUCUGCACAGACAGGUUAAUGAUGCGCAAGGGGAGACUGAAGCAUUAGUCCGCUGUUUAAAGACAGACUAACAGAGAUCCAUCUGGAGUGUGGGUGAGGUUGAUAGAGCUGCAAGAAUUAGGAAAGAAUAACUCACUUGGAUAAUAUCGUUUGUGGGGCUUCUAACUGAGCUGGAUUGGGGCAGAGAACCUAAUUUCAUAGAGCUUGGAAGAAAACAAAAAUAUUUCCCAGAUCAAGUAGAUUUUUGUUGCAAUUGUAAUAUAACAACUUAUAAGACCUUGUGAUUGAUCUUUCAGUAGAUUUCUUUCAUUGUGGGUCACUCUAUGUCUCAUAACAUCAGCCUUUACACAAGAAGCUCAGUCCAAACGUUGGUGCACUAAGCAAGCGUGGCUGCUCGAAUGAUGGCACUGACCAAACCUUUGAGCUCAAAUACAAAGACAGUACUGAACAAAUGCAUCGCCAUAUUUAAGAUGUGCAAUAUGGAGGUGAAAUAUUGUGGAAAUAGAUCAAAUGUAAACUCUUAGACAAACUCUUAUGGAGAAAGCAUUUACAUUUGAGUCAUUAGCCACUUCUCAAUGUGACAAAAACACACACCCACACACAAAAAUAAUAACAAUAAAUAACUGAGGCUGUCACAUCUCUUAUAUGUCAGGAUAUGUGUACAGUUAGUUGACUAUGCUGUAACUUCAGGGCUUCUUAAAACCCUGGAUCCAUGCUUCAUGUUACUUCUGAAAUCAACAGGAAGUACGUACACCUCGUUCCUUUGGCGUUGUGGUUUUUUUUCUAUCCCAAGAUGCGCGCCCUGCCUCCACUGGGAGUGUGAUUGAUGUGCGGUGCAGCUGACUACAGGGAACAUCAGAGUCCAAUGGUCUGCCAGUUCUUUGUGCAGGAAUCCAAAGAAACAAACAGGAGGAGCUGUAACAAUCCUUUUUUACAUAAAUGUAAAUAUCUAUCAGUAUAUUCAGUAUUUACAAGUUGAAGAUAUCAAUGUCAAAUACUGAUAGGAUAAAAGGACAGUUUGCACGUUUUAUUUAAUUUUAUUUUCUCCCCUCCAUGUUUGUACCUUUUACAAGCAGAGCAAACAUAAAUCAUACCCACCUUUUACUAUCUAGCUGUCUUAUCUAGUUCACUCUUUGUAAUCACAGCAGCACAGACUUAAUUUUAGCACUCAUUAUGCUCUGUGAAAUGUCAGCCUAGUGACAGUGUUGUAAGCUCGGCAAAUAUGUCUGAGAAAGUGAGGAGCAACUGUUGAUCAGAGUCAUUACCUUUCUCUUUUUCACAAGGUUUUUCUUGUACAAGUCAAGAGUGACAUUAAAAAUCAAUGAGAAGCUGUAACCUUUAGACACAGAGCCGGAAAAAAAUGACAUAAUUGGGUUUCAUGAGGACAGGUGCCACUGUGCCCCAGUUCUCUUUAUGAAAGAUCUGAGAAUAAAAGACCAGAGAAGCCAGUGACGAUGAGGCUACUUUGAUCAGAGAACACAGACGAUCUGAUGCUGGCCAGCAAUUUGCUUCUGCCAUCCUUUUUAACUUGUCUCUGUGUGGGAGGAAGAACACGGCUGUGCUUACCUGAACCUCGUAUCUGAAACCAGUGAUAAAUAAUGACUACACAAUACAGCAAAUGACAGUGACAAGGAUAAAUAUAUGCACGGUUUUCACACUUCAGGCAUUUUGAGGAUAAGAUGUUGUUUAAAGUAGCCCACAGGGUUCAUUUAGUUUUUUCCCUCAGUGAGAAAACACAAUAGAUCAAAAGAUGGUUUAUAGUUAAAGGGAUCAACUUCUCACUCUGAGCUACAGGAGCGUUAAACUCUCUCUUAAACCUUAUGGAGUAAGUAAUUAAUUUGAAUGGUUCUGAUCCAGCCUCGCCACUUUCAUAGGAGAUUAUUCAAUAAAGCUCCUUGUGUGCAAACUAACUGGCGAACAAAAACAAACCAAAGCAUUUGGAAAAGAACAGGUGGUCAGUUAUUUCCCAUAGAGGUGUAGUUGUAAACAGUGUAAAAUUUGGACUCAUAUUUGCCAGGAGGUUAGUAAAACUUAUUGUUAGAUGUAAAUGAGCCUGCUUCUCCUCACGUAUCUGCUGGAAUAAUGUCAGAAGUAAAAGUGUAAAGGAGAUCUGUUAUUGUCGUUUGGUCAGACUGAGACAUGUCUGAAGAAGCUCUAAAUGAUUUGCUGCUCAAUCAUUUCAUUCUGGCUGUUCGUUCAGUUGUUUAAAAUGGGACAGCUUUUGGGUGCUACUUUUUACACAGUGUUGGCGUUUGUGCCAAUUUCCAGCAUUGCCAAGAUGGCGGCCUUUGUGGCUUCACCCAGUUCUUUUGCUUUAGGCAUUCUGUUAGAGUUGACAACUUCUGAGUUGUGCUAUGGCUUGAAUAACUCUACGCCUUUGCAUGUGCAGUGCUGCUAACAGGAAUUGGCCUCUUAUAUACCCUGGGAUUACGAUAAAACUUGUGUGUGUCAAACAGGACAUACGAUAUCAUGGAAUCAGCUGCAUUUUUAGUUAGGUAUAUUACCUGACGAAUGCGAUGAACCUACAAGACAUUAAAAUUAACAAGACAUUCAAGAAAACAAGGGUGGUCUUUUUAUACACACACACACACACACACACACACGUUUGCCAUUGCAGCCCAUCAAGAUUUGGACUUACACCACCUCAUACGACCUUAGAGCUGUUUUUUUUUCUUUCUUCUUCUUCUGACUCAUCACAUGCCUUAUGUAAGAUAAAGCAAUUGGUCAUCCUGUUAGAGCUUCAGAGGAAAGAAGAUCAAACUCUGCAGAGAUCAAGAGGACACUCAAAACCCUUUCAAACCUUUGAAAUCAGUCUUCUAGUUAAAAAGUGAGGCAGCACAGACAGGCUAACAUGCCAACGAUUCUGCUCGCCACUUACCAAUCUGUCCCUGUCACCUGUGGAAAGAUUCCCAAACUGUGAAAUUAUAUGAAACUGUCAGAAGAGACUUCUCAGGUGUUACAGUAAUGCUUUUACUUUAUUCUUUAUUGCGGUGCAUGGUGUUUUACAGGUUGUUGAGUGGUUUAAAACGCCUACUUUUUACCUUGUUCAAAUCCUCAAGUCAACCUUUCUGACUUUAGACUUAUUAGAAUCGAUGUCUUUCCAAAGUGGAACUCACGUCUUUAGUUCACACUGAAUUAAAUUGAAAUUAUACAUUUAUAAAAUGCAAAAAGAACAAUGUCCCGGGAUGUUUUGGUUUUAAAACUCAUCAAGCAUCAAAAAUGAGGCCAAUUCAGAACAAAUGUAGCUCUCACUGGAUUCAACCACGACUGUUGAACAUUAAAAUUGACUCGACUCUUUAAUCUACAUUACAAGGCUUCACAUCAUGGAUGCAAAAAAAUGUGCUUUCGAACAGCAAAUAUAUGUUUCUAACGCUGAGCUGCAGUCAGAUUGAACUGCCCAAGGCCUAAGAGCUUGACUGUUUAUAUCCUUGCUGAUAUCUUACUCUGUAAAACAUGUUGUAAAACUACAACUUCUGAAUUGAUUCAUGGGUGGAUGUUGUCAUUGAGAAAGUGGAAUAAAUCUGUCUACUGGAUUAGUAUCUUCUCAGAACAUAUUAAGCUUUUCCGUGAAGGAGCGUUCUGUCUUACAUCAAGGUUUACAAAGUUUGUAUGAUAAAAAAAGUUGCUUCUGCAAAAAGGGGCUGACUGCAUAAAACAAUAAAUCCAGCCACAAAGUCUCGCUCCACCUGCCCUGCACUCAGGUUACUUAGCAGGUGUUCCUGAUAUGUGCAAGUGAGGAAAAUGGGGCUGCCCUGUCCUCGACCCCAUGCUGUGAAUGAUGGAUGUUUUAACAGAGAUGGCAAUGGUCAGUGCAAAAGCAGGUCGCUUGGAAGGAGAUCAAAGUAGUUCUAGUUAACUACACGGGUUUGCUCUUCAUCAUUUUACUCACUUCAACUCACUUGCUCCAAGUGAAAUAUGAGGACAUUCUAUCUUUCGCUUACACCCACUUUAUUUCCAUCUCCCUCUCUCUUACUCACUCACACUCGCUCUCUAUCACACCCAAGCACAAAUUCUGGAAGCUAGGCUGGACUGAUAAAAGUUUGUCGAGCAAGUGAAAUAUAGCUCUCUAUCCAGAGUAAGUGUUAAAGAUAUACAUGAGUUACUUCCAUCAUGACUUAAGUGACUCCUAUAUAAUACUCAUAUGAAGCUUUGCGUGAUGUACAUGAUUAUUGAGUCUGGCGUAACACCAAAUGAUUCUGUCAAGGUGUCACAUGUGAUGUUGCAAGAACCUGAUCUAUUUUUGUGAUGAAAAGCAGAACUAGUGUGUUGAAGAUUCAUUUGGUUGCUUUCAAAGAAAGUGUUUGUUUAGUGAGAACUGCUCAGCGAGAUGUCUUAUGUUUAGAAAUGGAUUUGGCAGGUGCAGCAUUCUGAAUAAGGGAUAAAACAAGAUAAAUAAUAAAAUUUUGAGGAUCGUGAUUUCUAUUUUGGUCAGUUAUCACCAACAUGGUGAAAGCAGAUGCCAAUUUUUUUAGCCUCAUAUCCAGCAGUCUAAAAUAUCCUGGAUGUCUUUUAAACCUUUUUAUCAUGAAAAUGGAAAGAAGAACGAGGUCGUUUUAAGGAGGAAAAUUAGUUCUCCAAAAGGGGACAAGAUUCUAAAAAAAAUAUGGUAAAAAUUGUCAUUGGAGGUCUAGGUUUGAAGUGUGGGAAGCGUCCUUCUUCAAUCUGUAGUACAUUUGCAAUCUGAGCA